CAACCAUUUGUGAUACAGUGUCAAAGAUGAGGAAGAAGAUAGGCCAUAGGAACUAUGCAGCAAAUGUAAAGCUCACACUGUGUGUAUCAGACUGUCUGAGCUAGACCUAAGAAGUGUGAGAAAAGGCCAGCUGAAAGGGUUGAUGAAGAUCAAAUUCAACAAUCAAUUGCAAAGAGUGAUUGCAAAGAGGAUAAUUGCAUAAAAGGCUGUGAGACAGUCUCAUCAUCUGAAUCUCAGAGCAGUUUUUGCAUGGAGCAGCCUAAAGCCAUAACACCUGCCUGCCUGUACCAGCAGUCACAGUAAUCCCUUAUAAUACCCCCCACCAUGCUGGAAGGAAGACCAGUUGUCCCCCCUUCUCUUUUCAGAAGAGAACAGUCGGCAACAGAGAGUCAGCUGGAGAGUGAGAGGACUUCAGAGUUUA